CCUACGGGAGGCAGCAGUGGGGAAUUUUGGACAAUGGGGGCAACCCUGAUCCAGCAAUGCCGCGUGAGUGAAGAAGGCCUUCGGGUUGUAAAGCUCUUUUGUCAGGGAAGAAACGGUGUGAGCUAAUAUCUCAUGCUAAUGACGGUACCUGAAGAAUAAGCACCGGCUAACUACGUGCCAGCAGCCGCGGUAAUACGUAGGGUGCAAGCGUUAAUCGGAAUUACUGGGCGUAAAGCGUGCGCAGGCGGUUUUGUAAGACUGUCGUGAAAUCCCCGGGCUCAACCUGGGAAUGGCGAUGGUGACUGCAAGGCUAGAGUUUGGCAGAGGGGGGUAGAAUUCCACGUGUAGCAGUGAAAUGCGUAGAUAUGUGGAGGAACACCGAUGGCGAAGGCAGCCCCCUGGGUCAAAACUGACGCUCAUGCACGAAAGCGUGGGGAGCAAACAGGAUUAGAUACCCUGGUAGUCCACGCCCUAAACGAUGUCUACUAGUUGUACGGUUUUAAUUAACUUGGUAACGCAGCUACGCGUGAGUAGACCGCCGUCGGGAGGUACGGUCGCGAGAAGUUAAACGUUAAAGUAAAGUUAGACGGCGUGAGACGUGCCGACGGACGACGACGAGGGAGGAGG
rnacentral:rRNA from 1 species